rnacentral:rRNA from 1 species
AUUGAACGCUGGCGGCAGGCCUAACACAUGCAAGUCGAACGAGUGGCGGACGGGUGAGUAAUGUCUGGGAAACUGCCUGAUGGAGGGGGAUACCUACUGGAAACGGUAGCUAAUACCGCAUACCAUCAGAUGUGCCCAGAUGGGAUUAGCUUGUUGGUGGGGUAACGGCUCACCAAGGCCACGAUCCCUAGCUAGUCUGAGAGGAUGACCAGCCAAACUGGAACUGAGACACGGGCCAGACUCCUACGGGAGGCAUCAGUGGGGAAUAUUGCACAAUGGGCGAAAGCCUGAUGUAGCAAUGCCGCGUGUAGGAAAAAGGCCUUCGGGUUGUAAAGUACUUUCAGCGGGGAGGCGUUAACCACAGAAGAAGCACCGGCUAACUCCGUGCCAGCAGCCGCGGUAAUUC